UACGGGGGGAGCAAGCGUUGUUCGGAUUCAUUGGGCGUAAAGGGUGCGUAGGUGGCGCGCUAAGUCAGGUGUGAAAUCUCGGGGCUUAACUCCGAAACUGCAUUUGAUACUGGCGUGCUUGAGGACUGGAGAGGAGACUGGAAUUCACGGUGUAGCAGUGAAAUGCGUAGAUAUCGUGAGGAAGACCAGUGGCGAAGGCGGGUCUCUGGACAGUUCCUGACACUGAGGCACGAAGGCCAGGGGAGCAAACGGG
rnacentral:rRNA from 1 species